UCAAACAAAAUAUGAAAAACAUGUAUCAAUUAAAAUAAACUUCUAACACUACCCCUCAAGCUGAAGCUUACUAAGCUUUAAGCUUGUUACAAAUUAACCACAAAAAUAAAUCAAACUAAUUAAGAUCACGACCAACGGAGAGCAACAAUUCACAGUCAACAGAGAAAUCAUCAAAGAGAAGAGCAGCCAAAAGUGCAUCCAAACAG
rnacentral:lncRNA from 1 species